GACAGAGGAGCCAAGCGUUGUCCGGAUUGACUGGGCGUAAAGCGCACGCAGGCGGAUGCGCGCGUGGGGUGUGAAAUCUGGCCGCUUAACGGCCAGGCGCCAUCCCAUACGGCGCGUCUGGAGUGAUGCAGAGGUCGGUGGAAUUGCCGGUGUAGUGGUGAAAUGCGUAGAGAUCGGCAGGAACACCCAGGGGGAAACCAGCCGACUGGGCAUCUACUGACGCUGAGGUGCGAGAGCGUGGGGAGCGAACCGGG
rnacentral:rRNA from 1 species